rnacentral:rRNA from 1 species
AGUUUGAUCCUGGCUCAGGAUGAACGCUGGCGGCGCGCCUAACACAUGCAAGUCGAACGGCACCCAUCUUCGGAUGGAAGCGAGUGGCGAACGGCUGAGUAACACGUGGAGAACCUGCCCCCUCCCCCGGGAUAGCCGCCCGAAAGGACGGGUAAUACCGGAUACCCCCGGGCGCCGCAUGGCGCCCGGGCUAAAGCCCCGACGGGAGGGGAUGGCUCCGCGGCCCAUCAGGUAGACGGCGGGGUGACGGCCCACCGUGCCGACAACGGGUAGCCGGGUUGAGAGACCGACCGGCCAGAUUGGGACUGAGACACGGCCCAGACUCCUACGGGAGGCAGCAGUGGGGAAUCUUGCGCAAUGGGGGGAACCCUGACGCAGCGACGCCGCGUGCGGGACGGAGGCCUUCGGGUCGUAAACCGCUUUCAGCAGGGAAGAGUCAAGACUGUACCUGCAGAAGAAGCCCCGGCUAACUACGUGCCAGCAGCCGCGGUAAUACGUAGGGGGCGAGCGUUAUCCGGAUUCAUUGGGCGUAAAGCGCGCGUAGGCGGCCCGGCAGGCCGGGGGUCGAAGCGGGGGGCUCAACCCCCCGAAGCCCCCGGAACCUCCGCGGCUUGGGUCCGGUAGGGGAGGGUGGAACACCCGGUGUAGCGGUGGAAUGCGCAGAUAUCGGGUGGAACACCGGUGGCGAAGGCGGCCCUCUGGGCCGAGACCGACGCUGAGGCGCGAAAGCUGGGGGAGCGAACAGGAUUAGAUACCCUGGUAGUCCCAGCCGUAAACGAUGGACGCUAGGUGUGGGGGGACGAUCCCCCCGUGCCGCAGCCAACGCAUUAAGCGUCCCGCCUGGGGAGUACGGCCGCAAGGCUAAAACUCAAAUGAAUUGACGGAA